AUGAAACACUCCUACGGGAGGCAGCAGUGAGGAAUAUUGGUCAAUGGGCGAGAGCCUGAACCAGCCAAGUCGCGUGAAGGAUGACGGCCCUAUGGGUUGUAAACUUCUUUUGCAGGGGAAUAAAGUGGGGCACGUGUGCCUUUUUGCAUUUACCCUUCGAAUAAGGACCGGCUAAUUCCGUGCCAGCAGCCGCGGUAAUACGGAAGGUCCAGGCGUUAUCCGGAUUUAUUGGGUUUAAAGGGAGUGUAGGCGGUCUGUUAAGCGUGUUGUGAAAUUUAGGUGCUCAACAUUUAACUUGCAGCGCGAACUGGCGGACUUGAGUGCACGCAACGUAUGCGGAAUUCAUGGUGUAGCGGUGAAAUGCUUAGAUAUCAUGACGAACUCCGAUUGCGAAGGCAGCGUACGGGAGUGUUACUGACGCUUAAGCUCGAAGGUGCGGGUAUCGAACAGGAUUAGAAAACCUAGUAGUCCGAAGUUC
rnacentral:rRNA from 1 species